rnacentral:rRNA from 1 species
CCUACGGGUGGCUGCAGUGGGGAAUCUUCCGCAAUGGACGAAAGUCUGACGGAGCAACGCCGCGUGAGUGAUGAAGGAUUUCGGUCUGUAAAGCUCUGUUGUUUAUGACGAACGUGCAGUGUGUGAACAAUGCAUUGCAAUGACGGUAGUAAACGAGGAAGCCACGGCUAACUACGUGCCAGCAGCCGCGGUAAUACGUAGGUGGCGAGCGUUGUCCGGAAUUAUUGGGCGUAAAGAGCAUGUAGGCGGCUUAAUAAGUCGAGCGUGAAAAUGCGGGGCUCAACCGUAAAAGUGCAGUUGAUACUGGGUGUCUUGAGUACAGUAGAGGCAGGCGGAAUUCGUGGUGUAGCGGUGAAAUGCUUAGAUAUCACGAAGAACUCCGAUUGCGAAGGCAGCUUGCUGGACUGUAACUGACGCUGAUGCUCGAAAGUGUGCGUAUAAACACGGAUUAGAGCCCACAGGAGAG